rnacentral:piRNA from 1 species
UGAUGCACGAUAUGUGACUACUCGCC